rnacentral:rRNA from 1 species
CGUAGGGUCCGAGCGUUGUCCGGAAUUAUUGGGCGUAAAGAGCUCGUAGGCGGUUUGUCGCGUCUGCUGUGAAAACUGGAGGCUCAACCUCCAGCCUGCAGUGGGUACGGGCAGACUAGAGUGCGGUAGGGGAGAUUGGAAUUCCUGGUGUAGCGGUGGAAUGCGCAGGAUAUCAGGAGGAACACCGAUGGCGAAGGCAGAUCUCUGGGCCGUAACUGACGCUGAGGAGCGAAAGCAUGG